rnacentral:ncRNA from 1 species
CUAAACAAACGCGGGAGCUGUUGGCGGCAACGUCCAGCGGCUGAGAUGGCCUUGGGGCCGAACCGUAGAACCUGAUCCGGGUAAUGCCGGCGCGAGGGAGGAAAAAUGCCGAAUAG